GCUUCCCAAGGCUUCAGCAGCAUAUACACAAACUGAAACAAUAGAGUAUUAGCAUUGGCCUGUGCAAGGAUGACACGCAAACUCGUGAAGUAUGCCACACUCAA